AUCCAAAGUUUUAUUUUGGCUUAAAAAUUUGUUGUUAAUUUAGUUUAUAUGUAAAUUUUUGUGUGAGUAUACAUUAAUUUAAAUAGUUGAUGUUGUAUAUUUUAUUCGCAGUAAUUAGUAUUAUUGGUUUGAGGAAGCUCAGAAAUAGUAAUAUUAGGUAGUAUUGGCUAAUUUUGUGCCAGCAGCCGCGGUUAUACGAACGAUACAAGUAAAUUUUGUUAGUUUGAGUUAAAUUGGUUAAUUGAAAAUUAAAUUAAACUUGUUAGGUGAAAUUUUAAGUUUAUGAAAUUUUUUAUUGGGUUGGUUGAAGCUUGGAAAUUUUGAUUGUAAACUAGGAUUAGAUACCCUAUUAUUUGAAAUGUAGAUUAUUAAACUUAGGUAGUAGUAGAUAUGUUCUUGAAACUUAAAAAAUUUGGCGGUAUUUUAGUCUAUUCAGAGGAACCUGUCCUGUAAUCGAUAAUCCACGUUGGACCUAACUUGAGUUUGUUAGACAGCUUAUAUACCGUCGUUAUAAGAAAAUUUUAUGAGAAUGAUUAUUUUCGGGAGUUUGAAUUAAAAAGUAUAUCAGAUCAAGGUGUAGCUUAUGCUUAAGUAGAGAUGGGUUACAAUAAAUUUAUUUAAACGGAUUUAUGAGUUGAAAGUUUUUAUUGAAGGUGGAUUUGGUAGUAAAGUUGUAUAGAUAAAUAAUUUGACUUUAGCUCUAAAAUAUGCACACAUCGCCCGUCGCUCUUAUUAUUAAGAUAAGAUAAGUCGUAACAUAGUAGAUGUACUGGAAAGUGUAUCUAGAAUG
rnacentral:ncRNA from 1 species